rnacentral:lncRNA from 1 species
CUCCCCACUGCCCACCAAAUCAUCACACCACAGCUCCUCCAGAGGAAAAGCACAAACCCACGUCCAACCCAGAGCCGCAGUGGGAUUUGCCCACAGCAGGAAGUACUCAACGACAACCUGGGGCUUCUGGGCAAGUUUGUGCCAAGCGCCAGUCCUGCAGGGAGCAGAGGAACGAACCCUGCAAAGCCAAUUCUGCUCCCCACACAUCCCCUGCUUCUCCUCUUCUGUUCUUCUUACUGCUGGAAUAAUAUGUGGAUUUAUUUUCCCACCUGCACACCCCUCAGCUGCUCCUGGAGGCACCUCCCAGUAACAGAAAGGCAGGCUUCUUUCACGGCGUUUAUUACAAAAUCCUCUGUACCUCCACACACCUCAACCCUCACCAGAGCAACAUAAAAAAAACAACCAAACCAGCAACUCUGCACUGCAAUAAGGGUGAGAAAAUGCCCAGCAGGGACUCCCUCUCACCAACAGCGCUGAAAUGCAGCUCUCCGCAGGAGCUGCUGCUGCUGAUCUGAACACACCUGCUGUUCUGUGCUGUUCUGUGCUGCUCUGUCUGCUCUCUCCUGAGUUCUGGGGGGAGGGGGCGGGCCCACGGGGCCACUCUCAGUUCUUUUUGGUCUUGGGGGUGUCGUAUUUUCUCUUGCUCGAGUACCACAGCAGCAGCGGGAUCCCAAUGGACGGCAAAGUCAUCACACCAAAGGCCGCCCAGUCCAGAAAGUGAGGGGAGAACCUCCUGUCGAACUCACGCUGAGCCAGGAUUCCUCCCUGCCCGGGAGCACUCGUGAAACCCACCACGACCUGUCCGCCCUCCUGUGCCAGAUAGGUGAUGGUAGCAGAGGUGAAGUUGAAAUAUCCAGCUUUGAGAGGCCGCAGAACCACAGUGUGGGACACGUUGCUUGCUGGAGCGAUUCUGUCCCACUUGACGUUGAGCAUCCCAGAGACAAUGCCAAAAUCCUCCGGGGGGAAGGAAUCAUCCGACAGCUCCACAUCUAAAGCAGCACUGGAGCCAACAUUGUAGAUGUUGUACUGCAGCGUGAGGUCUUUGCCCUCCACUGCAUAUCUGUUCAGCAGAGACUUGGAGGCCAGCAGCCUGGCACCCUCCUCACAGCGGGCCACAUAAAAGAGGGCAAACGCAGCAAGAAUCACGAGCUUCAUCUCCGCAGCAGCCGCGGGGCGGGCGGUGAAGGCCGCACAGCCGCUCUAUCCGCGGCCUUUUCUCCCGGGCCGAGCGCUGAAGGCGUCACAGCCGCUCCGUGCGCCCCUCCGUGCGCCCCCACACACCCAACAGCCACUGCGGCUCCAACCGCCGCGGCCUGCGCGGGUCCCGCGGCUUCGGCC